UGCCGGGGACCUGCAGAGGUUCAGCCAUGGAAACAGGGGAACUUUUGAGUGGCUCCUACUAUUGCUCAGUGUCCCCAGUGCCAGGCCAGGAGGGCUACCAUCAAGGAAAAGCGGGAGUACAAUCCAAUAGAGGUAACCGAGCCUCUCGAGCUGGUUGGAAUGGACUUGUCUGAACAGGUAAUCAUUAAUGGCACUAUCUGGAAAAGAGUUGCAUUAUCAUAAACGACAACCCAAAUUAUCUUAUUACCUGAAUUCUGCAUUUUAAGGUCCCUGAACAAACUGGUGGCUGAGCACCCCAACCGCUGGGACCAGUAUCUCCAGCCAACCAUUGCCUUGAGGACCAAGAAGCAGCUACCUACACAAUACAACCCGUAUUACCUGAUGUUUGGGAGGGAGGCCAGGUAUCCCUCAGAGGUCUCAAAUGAGUAUGAAGUGACUGAAGAGAAGGUCUGCAACCUCAUAAAGACAGAGAAGAUCUGCAAGGGACUUAGAGAUCAGGCUACAAUCUACAAAGAGAUAAAAGCCAAUAUUGAGGCCAAACAACAAAAGGUCCGCAAGAGGAAGGAGGACAGAGGU